rnacentral:antisense_RNA from 1 species
ACUGAAUAGAUGGCAAGAAACGUAUAACCUGGAUGUGCACCUAACGCCCAGAGAAAUAAACCCAUUACAUGAAUUGAGAAAAUAAACGGAUCGAAGGUAUUUAUAACCCCCAGUGCGACCCAUUUCGACGAAAAUGGACGCAAAGCCUGCGUGCCGUAGGCAUUAAAUAUGUCGACAAAAACAUGAAGGAAAACAGCCACAAA